rnacentral:misc_RNA from 1 species
AACGCACGAGACCUGCGGACCUGCGGAGGGAUCAUCAUUGAACCUCUAAAUAUCAACAAACACCUUUCGUGUGAACCGUCGGGGGCUGGGAGGGGGGUGUGUGAUGCGCAAGCGUCCUCCCCCCCGCCCGCCUUCAUUUUUUCCCGCUUUUGCGGGGGAAAACGAAAAAAAACCCCAACCUUUCUUUUGAUCUUUUGACAGAUUCCAAAUGUUAUCGCAAGGUAACGCUUGAAAACAAAA